ACGGCGAGUGAAGCGGCAACAGCUCCAAAUUUGAAAUCUGGCCCCCGGGCCCGAGUUGUAAUUUGCAGAGGAUGCUUUUGGCGAGGCGCCUUCCGAGUUCCCUGGAACGGGACGCCAUAGAGGGUGAGAGCCCCGUCUGGUUGGAUGCCGAGCCUCUGUAAAGCUCCUUCGACGAGUCGAGUAGUUUGGGAAUGCUGCUCUAAAUGGGAGGUAUAUGUCUUCUAAAGCUAAAUAUUGGCCAGAGACCGAUAGCGCACAAGUAGAGUGAUCGAAAGAUGAAAAGCACUUUGAAAAGAGGGUUAAACAGUACGUGAAAUUGUUGAAAGGGAAGCGCUUGUGACCAGACUUGGGCCCGGCGGAUCACCCAGCGUUCUCGCUGGUGCACUCCGGCGGGCCCAGGCCAGCAUCAGCUCGUCCCGGGGGACAAAGGCUCUGGGAAUGUGGCUCCUCCGGGAGUGUUAUAGCCCUCUGCGCAAUGCCCUGGGGCGGGCUGAGGACCGCGCAU
rnacentral:rRNA from 1 species